rnacentral:rRNA from 1 species
GAGUUUGAUCUUGGCUCAGAUUGAACGCUGGCGGCAUGCCUUACACAUGCAAGUCGAACGGCAGCAUGAUCUAGCUUGCUAGAUUGAUGGCGAGUGGCGAACGGGUGAGUAAUACAUCGGAACGUGCCCUGUAGUGGGGGAUAACUAGUCGAAAGAUUAGCUAAUACCGCAUACGACCUGAGGGUGAAAGUGGGGGACCGCAAGGCCUCAUGCUAUAGGAGCGGCCGAUGUCUGAUUAGCUAGUUGGUGGGGUAAAGGCCCACCAAGGCGACGAUCAGUAGCUGGUCUGAGAGGACGAUCAGCCACACUGGGACUGAGACACGGCCCAGACUCCUACGGGAGGCAGCAGUGGGGAAUUUUGGACAAUGAGCGAAAGCCUGAUCCAGCAAUGCCGCGUGUGUGAAGAAGGCCU